ensembl:lncRNA
GAAUAUACCAGCUAAUUACACACAAAUCCUAUCAAGGGAUUUUAUUUCUUCUGUCAAAGCGGCAAGCUUGUAAUAUAUGCAGAAUGGUUUAGAAAGCUUUUUAGCAUAACUGUGUUAGGAAGCAGCAACUGUGGUGGUUUUUUACCUGCUGCUCCUGAAAGUGGAUUCUCAAUUCCCAGCCCACCUUACCUGGCCUCGGUGUUUAUACCUGGAGCUUUUCUCUUCACAAGCAACAGAAAGCCAGAAAUUACAGUUAGGAAAGCAGCUCACCAGCUGCUCUGAGGUGACAAAACCCUGCCUGGCAGUACAGCCGUGAUGAGAAAAUGCACACAGGCAGUGGCUGGUCUUUUGUACUUGUGUGUGAUUAUAGAAAGCUGGGGGAGAAAGAGUGAGUUCCCAGAGCUGGAAUGCCCCUCUGUUCAGGUGAAUGGGUUGGUCCCAGCUCUGUUGGAAGAGACUUGUAUUGAUUGACCACACUGGAAUCAAAGUCCAGGUUUAAUUAAUUAUCAUUCACACUUUGUUAUCAGUUGAAGAUGGAGAACUGCUAUAGAUGCAAUUACCAAAUGUUUUGUCUUAAAUAAAUCAGGAAUUCCCAUGUAAGAGGGCAAGGUUAGGAGAACAUUGGAUUCUAACGUCAGAAACUAUUAAGUCAGAUGCUGUUGAGCUGUAUCCUCUUUCCUGCACUAGCAGCACAAUCCCACAAUGUCAAAGGCUGUGCUUACCCUGUCCCAUCAGACCAGAGCUAUAUAAAGCUUUCAAGUUAAAUCACAGACAGUAUUUGGGCCAGAUCAGCGAGGUGCUUCCAGCUGCAGGCAAUUCAGACUCCACCUAAUGAGGCUAUGGCAUUGAAAGGAGUUACUUCUGAAGGAAGAAAAGAGACCAGAAUAGCAAAGUGCUGGAACACGGGACUGUGGUUUGUAGAUAAGAAUUUAAAGUGUGUUAGAGGAAUGUGAAUGAUUGGUAAUUUUGUUCAUGUGUGUGUUUGGAGUGAGGGGAAUAAGUGAACAGGGAGCAUGAUUUGAUGGCAGAAAAUCAAAACCUAAACCUGCAGUGCUGGAGAGGAGGAAAGCUGUGACUGCUCCUUAAUCAGGGCUCAGUCCUGCUGCAUAGCUCCUCGCUGCUCCGUGCUGUCCCCACAGAGCUCCUGCUCGAAAGGCUGUUCUUUAUAACAGAGUGCAAAUGUAGCACAGCCAGUGUCUUUAUUACUGUAAUAAUUUGCAGGGCUGGCACUCUUUGGAGGAGGAGGAGGAGGCGUCAGCUUAGCAAACAUGGACUGGGAGGCUAUUCUGAGAAUAGCAGGCAGCCUCAAAAGCGGAUCUGCAGUGAGAAGCAGGCAGAAGAGAUGACUGAUGAGCAGAGGGGAGAGGCAGGUGGCACUUCAGGGAGCUAUUCAGCAGGGUUACAGGGACUGAGCCACGUGCUGAGACGGAGGCGAUGCGGGAGUGCAAUGUGGUGCAGUGGGAAAGAAGAGGCCCAGGUGGGGAUGUGCUGUGUGCCACCAGGGCUGUGCCUUCGUGCCUUCCUCCCACGCCAAAUAUUUUGGGAGCGCUUUGUCAGUUGUUACAGUAUGAAGAGCUUCAACAAAGACUGAGAGGGAUACAGACCCCGAGUCAGGAGUUCAUCCAUAUUCAGCAGUGUUGUUUCUGAAUCAAAGCUAUAGUCCCACAGAGCUCCCGCCCAGAGGACAGCAGGUAACCAGCACAGGCUGAGCACACAUCAGUGCCUCCUGCAAACAGUUGUAGAAAUGCACAAUCACAAC